CCUACGGGAGGCAGCAGUGAGGAAUAUUGGUCAAUGGGCGCUAGCCUGAACCAGCCAAGUAGCGUGAAGGAUGACUGCCCUAUGGGUUGUAAACUUCUUUUAUAUGGGAAUAAAGUGCAGUAUGUAUACUGCUUUGCAUGUACCUUAUGAAUAAGGAUCGGCUAACUCCGUGCCAGCAGCCGCGGUAAUACGGAGGAUUCGAGCGUUAUUCGGAUUUAUUGGGUUUAAAGGGCGCGUAGGCGGGUUGUUAAGUCAGUUGUGAAAGUUUGCGGCUCAACCGUAAAAUUGCAGUUGAUACUGGCAGCCUUGAGUACAGUAGAGGUAGGCGGAAUUCGUGGUGUAGCGGUGAAAUGCUUAGAUAUCACGAAGAACUCCGAUUGCGAAGGCAGCCUGCUGGACUGUAACUGACGCUGAUGCUCGAAAGUGUGGGUAUCAAACAGGAUUAGAUACCCGAGUAGUC
rnacentral:rRNA from 1 species